rnacentral:rRNA from 1 species
GACGAACGCUGGCGGCGUGCUUAACACAUGCAAGUCGAACGGAAAGGCCCCUUUGGGGGUACUCGAGUGGCGAACGGGCGAGUAACACGUGAAUAACCUGCCCUUAACUUCGGGACAACUUCCCGCAACUGGGGCUAAUACCGGAUAGGAAUCCUUGCUGCAUGGUGGGGGUUGGUAAGCUGCGGCGGUUUUGGAUGGACUCGCGGCUCAUCAGCUUGUUGGUGGGGUAGUGGCUUACCAAGGCUUGGACGGGUAGCCGGCCUGGGAGGGCGACCGGCCACAUUGGGACUGAGAUACGGCCCAGACUCCUACGGGAGGCAGCAGUGGGGAAUAUUGCACAAGGGGCGGAAGCCGGAUGCAGCAACGCCGCGUGCGGGAUGACGGCCUUCGGGUUGGAAACCGCUUGCAGCAGGGGCGAAGCUUGUGGUGACGGUACCUGCAGAAGAAGCACCGGCUAACUACGUG